AUGUUCACUUCAGCAACACAUAUACUAAAUUUGGAAGGAUACAGAUGUUAGCAUGGGCCCCGCAAAAGGAUGACAUGCAAAUUCAUGAACUGUUCCACAUUUUU